rnacentral:tRNA from 1 species
CGCAGCGGACAGGAUUCGAACCUGUGCGGGCAGAGCCCAAUUGAUUUCUAGUCAAUCGCCUUAACCACUCGGCCACCGCUGC